rnacentral:rRNA from 1 species
GUGCCAGCAGCCGCGGUAAUACAGAGGGUGCAAGCGUUAAUCGGAAUUACUGGGCGUAAAGCGUGUGUAGGUUGUUGGAUAAGUUAGAUGUGAAAUCCCUGGGCUUAACCUGGGAACUGCGUUUAGGACUGUUUAACUAGAGUACUGUAGAGGAUAGUGGAAUUUCCAGUGUAGCGGUGAAAUGCGUAGAUAUUGGAAGGAACACCAGUGGCGAAGGCGACUAUCUGGAUGGAUACUGACACUGAGACACGAAAGCGUGGGGAGCAAACAGGAUUAGAUACCCUGGUAGUCCAUGCUGUAAACUAUGGGUACUAGGUGUAGGGGGUGUCGACUCCCCCUGUGCCGACGCUAACGCAUUAAGUAUCCCACCUGGGAAGUACGAUCGCAAGAUUGAAACUCAAAGGAAUUGACGG